GAGGAUGGGUUCAGCAGCGGUCGGUUUGCAGCGCUAAGCAAAGACGAGAAAGGGAGAUUUUUUUUUCCUUCUUUCUUUGCCAGCGAUGGAUGUGCGCGCGGCACUUGCGUGGCUAGUGAUCGCGGCUGCUGGUCUCGCACACGGACCCUCUCCGCGUCGCGUGCAUAAUGCAUGCACCCCGUUCCAUGCUGUUUGUUCUCAUGCGCCAUACCACGGGAGGCCGUAUACGGCCACCAACGGAGAUCGUGAUGGAUCCGCUGCCAAGCGCGGCGACGGUGGCGGCAGACACGAGAUCACCCAUUUGUCGAAUUGUGGACGCGCGCGGAUAUGAAGAAGGUACAAUCGCAACAGUGUUUUUGUAAAAUAAAACAUACGUAAUUAAAUUUCAAACUGUUUAAA